UCUCUGGUGAUUGCACUGGUGG
rnacentral:siRNA from 1 species